CUUUUGGUGUAUACGUAUUAACUUUAUUUUGUUGAAUUAGUGAGAUGUAAAGUUGUAAACAAGCAUGUGUUUGGUGGAUGACUAAAUGUAAAAGAAAUGAUGGUUGAAUGGGAAUGUAAUAGUUUUACUUGUAUUUGGUUUAAAUUUAUCAAAUAUCAUGUGUAUUGUAUAUUUAGCUUAGAGCUUUCGCUUCCGUUGUUGCUUGCCCUCGUGCAAGCCUUAUAUUAUAUAUGCAAUUCUUUUGUUGAUUGCCUAUUUAUACUUGUUGUUAGA
rnacentral:lncRNA from 1 species